rnacentral:rRNA from 1 species
GGGUUGUGAGGUUAAGCGACUAAGCGUACACGGUGGAUGCCCUGGCAGUCAGAGGCGAUGAAGGACGUGCUAAUCUGCGAUAAGCGUCGGUAAGGUGAUAUGAACCGUUAUAACCGACGAUUUCCGAAUGGGGAAACCCAGUGUGUUUCGACACACUAUCAUUAACUGAAUCCAUAGGUUAAUGAGGCGAACCGGGGGAACUGAAACAUCUAAGUACCCCGAGGAAAAGAAAUCAACCGAGAUUCCCCCAGUAGCGGCGAGC